GAAAAGGAUCAGUCCUCGAUUGUAAACUGCAAGUCCUUCCAGCAACAUGGAGAAUGAAUGGAUUUUUCUGGAGUCAUGGAUGAUAUAGCCUUUCCUGCAAUGAAGUUGGAGCCCUUUGACCUGCUGUGGCCAACAGACUGUGAGCAGAAGCAACAUGUGUUAUCCUGUGCUUGCAACCACAUAUAACCAACUUGAUUAAACUUCCAUGU